AAGGUGGGGAGUGACGUCAAGUCCUCAUGGCCUUUAUGACCAGGGCCACACACGUACUACAAUGGCCGAUACAAAGGGCAGCGACACUGCGAGGUGAAGCCAAUCCCGUAAAAUCGGUCUCAGUCCGGAUUGGAGUCUGCAACUCGACUCCAUGAAGUUGGAAUCGCUAGUAAUCGUGGAUCAGCAUGCCACGGUGAAUACGUUCCCGGGCCUU
rnacentral:rRNA from 1 species